GUUGCACAGAUGGCAUUAAUGACAUUACAAAGUGAGCAGAUGGAGAUAUCUCUUGAUUCCUGUCAAACGUCCACACUGAAGUGCCUGGACUAAGAAUGGACGGCAUGACCAAGGUCCAAGAGAGCCUCACCGAUCCCCCUGGAAGUCUGGAAGCAAAUAAGAAACUUUUUUCCUAUCUCUGAGAUAAUUUUUACUUCACAAAAAAUGGCAUAUAGGAGUAGAUGCUAAAUGGACAAAGAGGAAAUCCUGUAACGUCCCAAGUAGUAUUUACAAGAAAAGAGUGAUGGUGUGCCCAGCUGAGACUGGGACAGGCAUAAACGUCACAGAUUCUGAACUGGAAAUUGUGAAUUUUAAAGUCAUCUAGUCCAAUUUCCACAUUUUACAGAAGAGGAAAACUGAGUUCCGGACAAAAGACUCACUUGCACAAAGCUAAUAAAUGACAAAACCAAGGAUCAGAUCCAGAAUAUCUCUCUACAAAUCAUGUACUCUUUCCAUUGGACCAUUUUGGGAGAGGGGCUCAUUUACUGGUCCUUUGUCCAAAUGGGUUGGCCCAGGCCUUGGCCAGUCUUGCGCCCUCAGGGGAUGAGGUAAUCUCUCCUUGGUCCCCACAAACUCGUUAUUGUGCUGGUGUUGGUCUCAGGCAAACAUGGGACCCUGCGGUGGUGACCUUGAGGCUGGCCCCUAAUAGGACCUCUCAGAUGCAAACUGAAUAGGUGCCGAGGAGGUGACGGCUUCUCUGCAUGCACCACUAUUUCUCGUGCAGUUCCCACCCUGCCCCGGCUCGGCAUCUGCUCCGUCCGUACUUGGUUUUCUCGGAUCCAGAAAUGCAGGGCAAAUUCUGAAACCCUGGCAAUAUCCACGUGGUUUUCUACGUGCACUACUUCCCGCUCCUGAUCGUUGCUACUGUACCCUAAGCUGCCCAAAUUCACAGGUUUGAGAGACUACCUGGUCCAUCCUUCUAAACUAUGCAAAGAGUGGUUGUCCAGCCUGUUUAAAGACCUCGUACCUCCAAGAGUCAGCCCAGUUCCACCCUUUGGAUAUCGGUGUGUGAGCAAGAGGGACGUUGGGCUCCUUCCCGCUCCCACAGCCAGCAUGGGAAAUUUCAAGGGAACGGGUUAGCACCUUCCUAUAAGUGCUUCCGCCUCUCGUGGCUGUUCAAAGGUUUUAUUUAAGCCCCGACUCUCCUCUCCACUCGACUCCUGCACCGCUCCCUCCCACUUCUUCCUUUCCCAGACAGUAAAAUGCUACAACAAUGUCAAGAUACUUUAAAAUUUCUUUAUUCUAGAUUACAGAACGUGCACUGAGUUAUUCACCAGUUAGAAAAAUAAAUGUUCAAUAAUUUCCAAAGUUUCAUUAUAUGCAACUCUGGGAUUCAACAGGUCUUUUAGAAUCAUAUUAAAUAGUGUUUUGAAAUGUGUAGACAUAAAAUUUACUCAAACUUCAAAUAAUGGUAAAAUGAACCCCAUAAUUUAAAUCUCUGGUCUGCCCACCAUGAUUAGCUUCUUUAAUUUACCACUGUAAGUGCUAGAUUUAAAAAAAAAAAAAAAAAAAAAGCAAAUAUAAUGUAUACUUCGAUUAUACUCAUUUGCCAUGAGUCAAAUUAAACCUCUGAAGUUAUAAUUUCAAAACAUUCGUUUUAUGGAGAAAAAAGACCUUGAUUUAGUUUUUUUUUUUAAUCUGCAAAGGGAUACUAAGGAAAAGCAGCUAUACCUGUUUACCUAUAAUUCAAACACCUGAAAGAAUGCCGAUUAAAUGUUUCCACAUCUGUUUUUAUGCGCAGAGAGGCAAUGAACAAUUUCUUUAACUUGAAAUCUCUAGCUUCCAAUGAAGAUGUCAAAUAUAUAGUGCAAUUUCUAAAGGAGAACUAUGGGAAAAGCAAGGAUUAAGUACUAAAGGAUCCUUUGAACUUGCAACAACUAUUAAAGUUAAAUGAUUUGGGGGGCAAUUUUAUAAAAACUGAACAUUUUGGUGUGAUAUUCACAGAUAUAAGCAUAUUUUAUAUAUAUUUUAUACUUCUAUAUGCAG